rnacentral:rRNA from 1 species
CAGUCGCCGCGGGAAUACGGAGGGUGCAAGCGUUAAUCGGAAUUACUGGGCGUAAAGCGCACGCAGGCGGUCUGACAAGUCAGAUGUGAAAUCCCCGGGCUUAACCUGGGAACUGCAUUUGAAACUGUCAGGCUGGAGUCUUGUAGAGGGGGGUGGAAUUCCAGGUGUAGCGGUGAAAUGCGUAGAGAUCUGGAGGAAUACCGGUGGCGAAGGCGGCCCCCUGGACAAAGACUGACGCUCAGGUGCGAAAGCGUGGGGAGCAAACAGGAUUAGAUACACCAGUAGUCCCUGUCUCUUAUAC